UAACGAAAAGGAAAGGGAACCAUAGAGGUGUUUUAUUUGCAAGACCGGAGCUGGCUUUAAAAAUUAUGGGUAACAUUAUAUUAGGUUUUAUAUAGCACCAAGAGCCCCAAAAGCUAUUUCACACGCUGCAGCAAUGCAGCUCCUGCCUGCCUGGCUCAGAGCAGCAGCUGGGCUGGGAUUUUGGAAAGCAUCGGCCCCUCAGUGGGGCUCACAGUGGGCACACAGUGCCUGGGGAGCUGAUGAAAACAUGCUGUCCCCGGAGCACAGCUGGCUCCGUGUGGAUCAUUGGAAGCCCAUCCAGAGGCAGGACACGACCGCCUCGUUGGACUUUCAAACUGGGACGCAACGUGUGUUUGUGUUGGUAAAGCAGAGCGUUAUUUAUUGCGGAUCAAGAACACUUCCCAUCUGGCAUUUCGUUUUAACGCCAAAUGUUUGGCUCGCCAGUGAUGAACAUUUCCUCUGAUCAAAAUCUCAGUGAGCAAAAUGCUCCGAUGUGUUGGGAGGGAGCGCACCCAGCCUGGCCGAGCAGCACAGCCGUGGGUUCCUCUGAUGGGGCCACUUCUUGUUCCUUAUCCCAGCCAGGAGCAUCUCCAGCUCAGCUUUCCGUACUGGGACAUCCCCUGUUUGCGUGCCCCAUUGCACAAAGCCAACAUGUCCCUAUGGGAGGGCUGUGGUUGGGGCAAGCAGGGAUAGAUGGCCCGACACCCUAUGUUUGCAAAGGGAUUCAAUUCUGCGUGUAAAGCAGCAAUUAUAUCUGCACAUAAAAGUGGGCAUUGCUCCGUCCCGGAGCGGGGCAGGGGGGCACUCAGCCCAUGAGAAAUUCCUGCCCACGGGUGCUCACCCCCAGGGCUUGAAUCACUUCUCUCAUCCGACACACAAGAUGGACGAUGUCCUCAAAAAUGGGCUCUUUGUUUCUCCAACAUUUCUUCCGUCUGGGCCGGGGCUCUGAGCCCUCUUUGUUGUUAAAUGACAAUUGCUUUCACAGCGAUUCCAAUGGCUGAGAGGGGACUUUUGAGGCUCAUCUGAACGGGGAGGGAAGAGCUCAGCAGAUGCCCCGUGCAGAGGAAGAGCUGUGCAUGCUGGAGCAGCUUUGUUGUUGAAAAAUACCAGGCUACAUCCUUAGUGGUUUCAGAUUUGGGGCACAGAUUGUCUACUUGCGCUGCGAUUUUAGAGCACCUGAAAUAAUGGGAUCUUAGGCUGGAGGCGAUCUCCAGAACCUCUCAGCUGCCAUCAUCAUACAAAUGGGUCGUAAUAAAAAAUAAAUUAGUGUGAGUCCACAGCAGCCAGCAGAGCUGCAGCCCUUCCUCAGGCUGAGGAUCCAGAUGAAUAUUUCAUUGAAAAUAUCCUAUUAUGUUGGCUCAUACGUUGGAAUAUCUGCGCAUCUCUCAUUCGUAGCUCAACUUUACAACAGCUUUGUGAGACCUGGAAACCUCAGACGGAAAGUUAUUUCGGGCACAGGGCUGUCUAAUUCAUCCCGUGUUGGUGCAGCAUCCCGUGCAAAGCAGAGCAGAGCUGGGGAAUAAGCAGUGAGAGCGUGCAGCUCACAGCAGGACUGCACCGACGCACGGGAAGGAGCAGGAAAUUGGAUGGAGUGCCGGAGUGCUCCCAUGGCACAUCCAAGUCUGCAGCAGCGAUAGAACCGCGGCGUUGCAGCAGCUCCCAUCAGCACGAGGAAAGCAGCGAGGCUUGCAGAGGCACCUCCGCCCCGUGCAGGUUGCAGCACUUGCUCUAGCGCCGUGUUGGUGUUUGUAAACUGCGCUCUUGAAAUACAUUGUGCAGGAUGUGGGAGCACCACGUGAGCGUGCAGCUGCUCACCGCGGCAGUGGGCCCGGCUCUGCCCUCGUAGAGGAGAGCAGAACACACCCUGCCCACUCCCACCACCCACCCCAUGCAGUGCCAAGCGUGGUUCCGUGCAGACCCCUCCAGUUCCCACCCACACGGUGGGAAUGGCACAGGGAUGAGGGCUGCGCUACCCAGGGAUGCUUGGAUGCUGUGGAAAUGACUCGGUCAGCUCUGGCAGCCCUCAUUUAGCAGAUGACAGCAGCUGCUUCCCAGAGCGCUGUGUGUAACCCAAGUGACUCAGCCGAGGCAAACCCUUCCUCCUGGCAUCUCUGGUGUGUGACACACGACCUGGCAGAGGGGCACCGCUAAGAAUACCCACAUUUUAUGUAGUGCUUUUCUACAGGAAAUCCCGCAGAAGUUUAUUUGGAGCUCAAGGUUCCUAAGGACACAUCAAGGACGCGGAGUUCUGCUACCCAGAGAGGUGAUGUGGGAUGCGUCUAUUGACACAAUAGCCCCGCUCAACCCAUCUAGCGAGGAAGUAACGAUGGCCCUGGUUAAUUUGCCAACAUUCGGGUCCAGAUUGAACACCUGCAAGAUGAGCGGGGGGGGGAUCCCCCUCUCACCACUGUUAUUUCAGGUCGGCCAGGAGAGUUUAGAUGGCACAGCCCCAUUUUGCAGAAUGAGAGUGUAUGAGCCAUGCCGGGAGCAAUGUGCUCCAGCGCUGCAGCCAACGCAGGUGGAAGUCUGGGGAGGGAACCCCUGCUGGGAUAACUCUGAAAUAACCCCAAGGCGCGCAGGGAACGCCUGGAGAGCCGGUGCGGACACGGCGGGCUUUGUCUGGGGCAGGUCGGCUGGGUGUGUGCUUCCUGGCAUACAAUUCCCAGAUUAGCAGGAGCCGGGCUGCCAGCAGCUCCUCCAGCCCUGCUCGCAUGGUUUCUUUCAUCUACUCAAACAGAAGAUGGAGAGCAGAGUGACAUUUAUCCUCUGCACAGGGUCGGAGUCUUCCAGCUCCUCUCCUACACCACAUACAAGAUUGUCACCUUUAACCACCAGGGGACCAUCGUGGGCUGAAGGAUCACACCUCUCCUUUGCGGCAGAGGCAGACUUGCCUCUUCUAACCCCCAAAUUAAAGAAUGAAUCCAUAAACACCUUAAAAUCCACAGAAAGUAAUGUGGAAGACAUGAAAAAAACUGGAAGGUGGAGGGAAGGAAAGAAAGGAGAAAAACAAAUUCAGCAGAGAACUGUUUAAUAAGGGAACCUGAGAGCACAGAGGGAGAAGCGAGAAGAGCUCAUUCACACAAAAUGUUCAAUUGAAACCAACUCGAACAAAACCUGUCUGCCCCAUCAGGGUGGUGAAACACAGAGGGCCUUCUCCAAGGAACAGAAAAGGGAGAAAGCAGAAAGGAAAUGCAGUGUGCACAUGAAUGAUGAACACGAGAGAAAGAAGAGGAGGAAGCUGAAGACGGACGGAGGGCCUUUGCGGCCCACGCACACGUGGCACACGUGGCUGUGCCCAUCGUUCCAUCCCCGCUGCCCCCC
ensembl:lncRNA